AUAAUGGGUCAGCGACUUAUAUUCUGUAGCAAGGUUAACCGAAUAGGGGAGCCGAAGGGAAACCGAGUCUUAACUGGGCGUUAAGUUGCAGGGUAUAGACCCGAAACCCGGUGAUCUAGCCAUGGGCAGGUUGAAGGUUGGGUAACACUAACUGGAGGACCGAACCGACUAAUGUUGAAAAAUUAGCGGAUGACUUGUGGCUGGGGGUGAAAGGCCAAUCAAACCGGGAGAUAGCUGGUUCUCCCCGAAAGCUAUUUAGGUAGCGCCUCGUGAAUUCAUCUCCGGGGGUAGAGCACUGUUUCGGCAAGGGGGUCAUCCCGACUUACCAACCCGAUGCAAACUGCGAAUACCGGAGAAUGUUAUCACGGGAGACACACGGCGGGUGCUAACGUCCGUCGUGAAGAGGGAAACAACCCAGACC
rnacentral:rRNA from 1 species